rnacentral:rRNA from 1 species
UUGGAGGGCAAGUCUGGUGCCAGCAGCCGCGGUAAUUCCAGCUCCAAUAGCGUAUAUUAAAGUUGUUGCAGUUAAAAAGCUCGUAGUUGAAUUUCGGGGUCAGUAGAUUGGUCGUGCCACUGGUAUGUACUGGUCUUACUGGCUCCUCCUUCCUGAUGAACCGUAAUGCCAUUAAUUUGGUGUUGCGGGGAAACUGGACUGUUACUUUGAAAAAAUUAGAGUGUUUAAAGCAGGCUAACGCUUGAAUACAUUAGCAUGGAAUAAUGAAAUAGGACGUUCGAUCUUAUUUUGUUGGUUUCUAGGAUUGACGUAAUGAUUAAUAGGGAUAGUUGGGGGCAUUAGUAUUCAAUUGUCAGAGGUGAAAUUCUUGGAUUUAUUGAAGACUAACUACUGCGAAAGCAUUUGCCAAGGAUGUUUUCAUUAAUCAAGAACGAAAGUUAGGGGAUCGAAGACGAUCAGAUACCGUCGUAGUCUUAACCAUAAACUAUGCCGACUAGGGAUCGGAUGAUGUUAAUUUUUUAAUGACUCAUUCGGCGCCUUACGGGAAA